rnacentral:rRNA from 1 species
GGGUUGUGAGGUUAAGCGACUAAGCGUACACGGUGGAUGCCCUGGCAGUCAGAGGCGAUGAAGGACGUGCUAAUCUGCGAUAAGCGUCGGUAAGGUGAUAUGAACCGUUAUAACCGGCGAUUUCCGAAUGGGGAAACCCAGUGUGUUUCGACACACUAUCAUUAACUGAAUCCAUAGGUUAAUGAGGCGAACCGGGGGAACUGAAACAUCUAAGUACCCCGAGGAAAAGAAAUCAACCGAGAUUCCCCCAGUAGCGGCGAGCGAACGGGGAGCAGCCCAGAGCCUGAAUCAGUGUGUGUGUUAGUGGAAGCGUCUGGAAAGGCGCGCGAUACAGGGUGACAGCCCCGUACACAAAAAUGCACAUGCUGUGAGCUCGAUGAGUAGGGCGGGACACGUGGUAUCCUGUCUGAAUAUGGGGGGACCAUCCUCCAAGGCUAAAUACUCCUGACUGACCGAUAGUGAACCAGUACCGUGAGGGAAAGGCGAAAAGAACCCCGGCGAGGGGAGUGAAAAAGAACCUGAAACCGUGUACGUACAAGCAGUGGGAGCACGCUUAGGCGUGUGACUGCGUACCUUUUGUAUAAUGGGUCAGCGACUUAUAUUCUGUAGCAAGGUUAACCGAAUAGGGGAGCCGAAGGGAAACCGAGUCUUAACUGGGCGUUAAGUUGCAGGGUAUAGACCCGAAACCCGGUGAUCUAGCCAUGGGCAGGUUGAAGGUUGGGUAACACUAACUGGAGGACCGAACCGACUAAUGUUGAAAAAUUAGCGGAUGACUUGUGGCUGGGGGUGAAAGGCCAAUCAAACCGGGAGAUAGCUGGUUCUCCCCGAAAGCUAUUUAGGUAGCGCCUCGUGAAUUCAUCUCCGGGGGUAGAGCACUGUUUCGGCAAGGGGGUCAUCCCGACUUACCAACCCGAUGCAAACUGCGAAUACCGGAGAAUGUUAUCACGGGAGACACACGGCGGGUGCUAACGUCCGUCGUGAAGAGGGAAACAACCCAGACCGCCAGCUAAGGUCCCAAAGUCAUGGUUAAGUGGGAAACGAUGUGGGAAGGCCCAGACAGCCAGGAUGUUGGCUUAGAAGCAGCCAUCAUUUAAAGAAAGCGUAAUAGCUCACUGGUCGAGUCGGCCUGCGCGGAAGAUGUAACGGGGCUAAACCAUGCACCGAAGCUGCGGCAGCGACGCUUAUGCGUUGUUGGGUAGGGGAGCGUUCUGUAAGCCUGCGAAGGUGUGCUGUGAGGCAUGCUGGAGGUAUCAGAAGUGCGAAUGCUGACAUAAGUAACGAUAAAGCGGGUGAAAAGCCCGCUCGCCGGAAGACCAAGGGUUCCUGUCCAACGUUAAUCGGGGCAGGGUGAGUCGACCCCUAAGGCGAGGCCGAAAGGCGUAGUCGAUGGGAAACAGGUUAAUAUUCCUGUACUUGGUGUUACUGCGAAGGGGGGACGGAGAAGGCUAUGUUGGCCGGGCGACGGUUGUCCCGGUUUAAGCGUGUAGGCUGGUUUUCCAGGCAAAUCCGGAAAAUCAAGGCUGAGGCGUGAUGACGAGGCACUACGGUGCUGAAGCAACAAAUGCCCUGCUUCCAGGAAAAGCCUCUAAGCAUCAGGUAACAUCAAAUCGUACCCCAAACCGACACAGGUGGUCAGGUAGAGAAUACCAAGGCGCUUGAGAGAACUCGGGUGAAGGAACUAGGCAAAAUGGUGCCGUAACUUCGGGAGAAGGCACGCUGAUAUGUAGGUGAAGUCCCUCGCGGAUGGAGCUGAAAUCAGUCGAAGAUACCAGCUGGCUGCAACUGUUUAUUAAAAACACAGCACUGUGCAAACACGAAAGUGGACGUAUACGGUGUGACGCCUGCCCGGUGCCGGAAGGUUAAUUGAUGGGGUCAGCGCAAGCGAAGCUCUUGAUCGAAGCCCCGGUAAACGGCGGCCGUAACUAUAACGGUCCUAAGGUAGCGAAAUUCCUUGUCGGGUAAGUUCCGACCUGCACGAAUGGCGUAAUGAUGGCCAGGCUGUCUCCACCCGAGACUCAGUGAAAUUGAACUCGCUGUGAAGAUGCAGUGUACCCGCGGCAAGACGGAAAGACCCCGUGAACCUUUACUAUAGCUUGACACUGAACAUUGAGCCUUGAUGUGUAGGAUAGGUGG